GGUGUUGCAUGGCUGUCGUCAGCUCGUGUCGUGAGAUGUUGGGUUAAGUCCCGCAACGAGCGCAACCCUCAUCCUUAGUUACCAUCAGGUAAUGCUGGGGACUUUAAGGAAACUGCCAGUGAUAAACUGGAGGAAGGUGGGGAUGAUGUCAAGUCAUCAUGGCCCUUAUGGAGUGGGCUACACACGUGCUACAAUGGUGGCUACAAUGGGCUGCAAAGUCGCGAGGCUAAGCUAAUCCCUUAAAAGCCAUCUCAGUUCGGAUUGUACUCUGCAACUCGAGUGCAUGAAGUUGGAAUCGCUAGUAAUCGUGGAUCAGCACGCCACGGUGAAUACGUUCCCGGGUCUUGUACACAC
rnacentral:rRNA from 1 species